rnacentral:rRNA from 1 species
UGGUGCAUGGUUGUCGUCAGCUCGUGUCGUGAGAUGUUGGUUAAGUCCCGCAACGAGCGCAACCCCCAUUGUUAGUUGCCAUCAUUCAGUUGGGCACUCUAGCGAGACUGCCGGUAAUAAACCGGAGGAAGGUGGGGAUGACGUCAAAUCAUCAUGCCCCUUAUGACCUGGGCUACACACGUGCUACAAUGGUUGGUACAACGAGUUGCGAGUCGGUGACGGCGAGCUAAUCUCUUAAAGCCAAUCUCAGUUCGGAUUGUAGGCUGCAACUCGCCUACAUGAAGUCGGAAUCGCUAGUAAUCGCGGAUCAGCACGCCGCGGUGAAUACGUUCCCGGGCCUU